UAUAGAAAGACAGAUUUAGAAUUACCAAAUAAAAAGAAAAUAUUAACAUUCAUGGUGGUAACUUACAAGAACAGUAGGAGCUACAAGCUUCAGAGAUGAAGACACCAGGAAAUGUGUGGCUAACUUGGAAGGUUUGUAGGGAUAUCUUCAUCUAUGAAAGGAGUGGUUUGGGAAGUUUGAAGUGGCAUUGGUAUUGUUGAAGCCAUAC
rnacentral:lncRNA from 1 species